GGUUCUUUGAAACUUUUCUGGAUCUGUCAGUCUGGUUCACAGAAAACUGGUUUUAUCAGUAUUGGUCAUGGCACAAAAACGGUAGAGUUGAGGUGUUUUUCCUCCGUCACGGAGACAGAGCUGAGAUUUUCGACAGCCCGUGUGAUCUAAUCCAAGCUUGGAGGAGGGAUGGCCACGUCCCAGGGCCCAGCUGGCCACUGGAGCCUGAUGGUGAUUGUGGAGACUGCAGGUGGAGCCCUUCCCCAGGUUUCCCAGUAUCAGUGAAACCUGCCAACCAGGAAGAAGACUGUUUAUCCUUUGAGGAUGUGGCUGUGGACUUCUCCUGGGAGGAAUGGACACUGCUUGAUGACUCUCAAAGGAUCCUGCACCAGACGUUGAUGUCAGAAAUAUGAACACUCAUGUAUUUACUUGACUUAAACCUUCUGGGAUCCAUGGGCUUACUCAGCUGGAGUCUUGGGGAGAGCCCUCUGUG
rnacentral:lncRNA from 1 species